CCUACGGGAUGCAGCAGUGGGGAAUAUUGCACAAUGGGCGCAAGCCUGAUGCAGCCAUGCCGCGUGUAUGAAGAAGGCCUUCGGGUUGUAAAGUACUUUCAGCGGGGAGGAAGGUGUUGAGGUUAAUAACCUCAGCAAUUGACGUUACCCGCAGAAGAAGCACCGGCUAACUCCGUGCCAGCAGCCGCGGUAAUACGGAGGGUGCAAGCGUUAAUCGGAAUUACUGGGCGUAAAGCGCACGCAGGCGGUCUGUCAAGUCGGAUGUGAAAUCCCCGGGCUCAACCUGGGAACUGCAUCUGAUACUGGCAAGCUUGAGUCUCGUAGAGGGGGGUAGAAUUCCAGGUGUAGCGGUGAAAUGCGUAGAGAUCUGGAGGAAUACCGGUGGCGAAGGCGGCCCCCUGGACGAAGACUGACGCUCAGGUGCGAAAGCGUGGGGAGCAAACAGGAUUAGAUACCCGGGUAGUC
rnacentral:rRNA from 1 species